CCUACGGGCGGCUGCAGUGGGGAAUAUUGGACAAUGGGCGAAAGCCUGAUCCAGCCAUGCCGCGUGUGUGAAGAAGGCCUUCGGGUUGUAAAGCACUUUCAGUGGGGAAGAAAGCCUUGGGGCUAAUACCCUCGAGGAAGGACAUCACCCACAGAAGAAGCACCGGCUAACUCCGUGCCAGCAGCCGCGGUAAUACGGAGGGUGCGAGCGUUAAUCGGAAUUACUGGGCGUAAAGCGCGCGUAGGCGGUCUGAUAAGCCGGUUGUGAAAGCCCCGGGCUCAACCUGGGAACGGCAUCCGGAACUGUCAGGCUAGAGUGCAGGAGAGGAAGGUAGAAUUCCCGGUGUAGCGGUGAAAUGCGUAGAUAUCGGGAGGAAUACCAGUGGCGAAGGCGGCCUUCUGGACUGACACUGACGCUGAGGUGCGAAAGCGUGGGUAGCAAACAGGAUUAGAUACCCGGGUAGUC
rnacentral:rRNA from 1 species